GGAGGGGUGGCCGAGUCUGGUUUAAGGCGGCGGUCUUGAAAACCGCUGUUGCCGUAAGGUAACCGGGGGUUCGAAUCCUCUCCCCUCCG
rnacentral:tRNA from 1 species